rnacentral:rRNA from 1 species
GACGAACGCUGGCGGCGUGCUUAACACAUGCAAGUCGAACGGAAAGGCCCUGCUUUUGUGGGGUGCUCGAGUGGCGAACGGGUGAGUAACACGUGAGUAACCUGCCCUUGACUUUGGGAUAACUUCAGGAAACUGGGGCUAAUACCGGAUAGGAGCUCCUGCUGCAUGGUGGGGGUUGGUAAGUUUCGGCGGUUGGGGCUGGACUCGCGGCUUAUCAGCUUGUUGGUGGGGUAGUGGCUUACCAAGGCUUUGACGGGUAGCCGGUCUGAGAGGGUGACCGGCCACAUUGGGACUGAGAUACGGCCCAGACUCCUACGGGAGGCAGAAGUGGGGAAUAUUGCACAAUGGGCGGAAGCCUGAUGCAGCAACGCCGCGUGCGGGAUGACGGCCUUCGGGUUGUAAACCGCUUUCGCCUGUGACGAAGCGUGAGUGACGGUAAUGGGUAAAGAAGCACCGGCUAACUACGUG